AGCCUCUUUAGUGUUCCAACUUGCCCUCUCCUUCGACGGAGCGAUUCUCGGCUUAGCACUUGCGUACGCCGCCGUACGUUCCUUCCUGAAGUUUACAUCCAACUCCAAAGCUCUUCAUAAAAUCCGUAAGGCCCCUGCCCUCAGAGUCUCCGAUCUUCGCUCUGUCCUUGAUCCCCCUCAGCCGUCCGAUGAAAGCCUAAACC
rnacentral:misc_RNA from 1 species